rnacentral:lncRNA from 1 species
GUGUGUGAAGUUUAAAGCAAUAAUCAGAAAUAGUUUUUGAGAUACAGUGUGACAUGUGAAAAAUACACUCCCCUGUUUUAGCUAUAAAGUCCUGUAACUCUAAAAGUUUAAAUCAUAUUUUCACCAAAAAGUAUACAGAUCGUUUGACCAUCAUAAGAAACAACUAUAAUGUUAAGUUUCAUGAAAUUUGGAUUAGCCGUUUUUGAGUUACAGUGAGAUAUGUGGGCGCCAAACAGACAGACGGAUAGACAGUCAGACGGACGCCGAACAUUUGUAUACCAUAAAACAUCCCAUCAAAAUUUGGACGAUGCUGACGCUGACGAAUACGACGUGAUACCAAUAUACAACCGCAAAAAUUUUGCGGUUGUAUAAAAAUAACACAAGAAGAGGAACCAGGUGUUUCUCAGGGCCCAGCUUUAUACGACCGCAGAAGUCGAACCCUGAACAGUUAGGGCAAGUUUGGACACAACAUUCAAGCUUGAUUUCAGCUUUGAAUUUGGAUUGUGAUUAAAAAGUUGACACAACAUAUGUUUCUGACACAGAAUGAAUG